AGAGACUUAGGAUAACAAAACCAAGAGCCUUCAAAGCCCUAAACAGGGGUCACAAACCCCUAGUCCCUG
rnacentral:tRNA from 1 species